UGGGGAAUUUUGCACAAUGGGGGAAACCCUGAUGCAGCGACGCCGCGUGAUUUAGAAGGCCUUCGGGUUGUAAAAAUCUUUUCUAUGGGAAGAAAAUGACAGUACCAUAGGAAUAAGGACCGGCUAAUUACGUGCCAGCAGCCGCGGUAAUACGUAAGGUCCGAGCGUUGUCCGGAAUCAUUGGGCGUAAAGGGUACGUAGGCGGGUAAGCAAGUUAGAAGUGAAAUCCUAUAGCUCAACUAUAGUAAGCUUUUAAAACUGCUCAUCUUGAGGUAUGGAAGGGAAAGUGGAAUUCCUAGUGUAGCGGUGAAAUGCGCAGAUAUUAGGAGGAAUACCGGUGGCGAAGGCGACUUUCUGUCCAUAACCUGACGCUGAGGUACGAAAGCGUGGGUAGCAAACAGG
rnacentral:rRNA from 1 species